rnacentral:rRNA from 1 species
UACGUAGGGUGCAGAGUCGAUUGAAUGAAUCUGGGCGUAAAGCGUGCGCAGGCGGUGAUGUAAGACCGAUGUGAAAUCCCCGGGCUUACCUGGGAACUGCAUUGGUGACUGCAUUGCUGGAGUAUGGCAGAGGGGGGUGGAAUUCCACGUGUAGCAGUGAAAUGCGUAGAGAUGUGGAGGAACACCGAUGGCGAAGGCAGCCCUCGGCGAAUACUGACGCUCAUGCACGAAAGCUAGGGUAGCAAAUGGG